CGCGUUCGCUGCUUCGCGAUUAUAAGUGUGCGUUACGUUUCGGGAUGGCAAACUGGACGGUUUUUUUUUUUACCCCGAAGUGACGAGCCUUCAGAAUCGGCGAGAGCGUUGACUUGCGUCCUACAGAACUGGGUGCAGUUGGUGCUACAUCAGUGUGCUUGCUGCCCUGGCAAGCAAACACCCGGAAGAAGAAAUUUCUAGAAGCCACGGAAUCGAAACGUGCAGUCAGUUUGAAGAGACCGGCUCUGGUGAAACUCUGUGCCCUGAUGGGAUGCGAGGAACUGUCGCACCGCCCGCUCCACCACUGCAUUGUCUCGCAAGUGACGCACCGUGAGUGCGGGGACGUCAGCUCGCACCUCCAUCGGCGACCACGUGAUGCUGGCGAGAGGGACCCUGGAGUCAGCGCAGCCGUGCUUGUCGCCGUGUGACGACACCCGGGCCUAGCUCGACGGACGAGGCCACUGCUGCGGCUACAAGCAUGACGAGGGCAGCGCGCCGUGUGGCCGUACUCGGCAUCACUCACUCACUCACUCACUCGCCGGACUACCACCGUGGACGGGGGCUCAAGUAUUUAACCAUGCUAAAAAUACAAAUAAAUAUGAUUAUUUUCAAUUUUUGU